CAGCAGCCACGGGAAUACAGAGGGUGCAAGCGUUAAUCGGAAUUACUGGGCGUAAAGCGCGCGUAGGUGGUUUGUUAAGUCGGAUGUGAAAUCCCUGAGCUUAACUUAGGAAUUGCAUUCGAUACUGGGAAGCUAGAGUGUGUCAGAGGAUGGUGGAAUUCCCGGUGUAGCGGUGAAAUGCGUAGAGAUCUGGAGGAACAUCAGUGGCGAAGGCGGCCAUCUGGGACAACGCUGACACUGAGGCACGAAAGCGUGGGGAGCAAACAGGAUUAGAUACCCCCGUAGUCCCUGUCUCUUAUAC
rnacentral:rRNA from 1 species